UACAGAGGGUGCAAGCGUUAAUCGGAAUUACUGGGCGUAAAGCGUGCGUAGACGGUUACGUAAGUCGGAUGUGAAAGCCCCGGGCUCAACCCGGGAAUUGCACUCGAGACUGCGUAGCUAGGGUGCGGAAGAGGGAAGCGGAAUUUCCGGUGUAGCGGUGAAAUGCGUAGAUAUCUGGAGGAACACCGGUGGCGAAGGCGGCAUCCUGGACCAACACUGACGCUGAGGAGCGAAAGCCAGGGGAGCAAACGGG
rnacentral:rRNA from 1 species